UUUUCCAAGGAGGAUUUUAAUUAGGGGGUUGGAGGCCUUGGAACAGCCCUGGGAUUGUGCCUGGGGAAUGGGUUCUUUGGGGAGGAGGGACGGGAAGGUUGUGGGGGUUUUGUUGUUUUGUCUUCCCUUGGCUGUGAGUGACUUUCAGUGCCCUGUUUAGUCAGCUGUGGCUGAUUAUAUAAAGUAACCCCCUGGCUUUUCAUAUAACACAGAAAGCUUAUCACCUUUUCCAGCCACUACAACACUCAUUAAAGUCCCUGGAAAAACAACCACCUGCUUUUACUGCUGGAGAUCUGCUGUGUUUUGUGCCUGCUGGGAUGGGUGAAGCCCUGCGGUGCUGGGCAGUGUGUCCUCACUGCAGGGCCUCUCCAGGCUGCCUGGCUGAAGGAGAAAAAAAAAAAUCCUUAUUUUUAUUCCAGAUGGAUCCCUCUAGUUAUGUUUAAAUCUCCAGGUAAAACCAGUGCAAAAAAUGGAGCUGCCUGCACUGUGAAACCCACAGGAACUUCAUAUCUUUGAAACCUCUCCCACUCUGUCAGGCUUGGCUGAAGUUUACAUGUGGUUAUUAGAGCAGAGGACAGUUGUGCAGGGAAUGCCACAGCUUUGCCUGGCAAGAACCUCAACUGCAAAUUUUGCAGAAAUUGUGGUGAAUUUCCAUUGAGCUCAGCAGGAGCAGAUGCCCCCUAGGUCCUGCCUGCAAGGAGCAGGAUCAGCCAACAUUCUCCAUGCUGGACCUUCCUCCGUCCUGUGUCAUUUGGCCAAACAACAGAUUCUGGUGGAAUCUCCACUGCUGGUUACAAAAUACUCACAAUGGGCAUUGAAACACACUGAGUUUGCUAUUAUGUCUCUUCAUAACUUUUAUGUCUAGAAACCCCAGCUGUGAUCAGGGCCUUGUUGUGUGAGAUGUUAUGCAAAUACAUAUUUUGUACAAACAGGAUGAUGAAAUCACAUGGAAAACUUCAUAAUCAAAGCAGAAAAAGAGCAACAGGGGCAAGAAAAAGACCACAUGGAGUUGCUUCUUCAGAGUCAUGUGGUGAGCCACUGGCAAAGGCAGGAGCAGCAGUGGGUCUCCUGGGUUCCAGGCUGGUCCUUAUCUGCCAUGGCAUCCUGCCUCUUCCCAGCCACCCCACUGCUUUUCCAGUGCUCCUUUAAACUCUGCUGCAGAGCUGCAACAUGGAGGGGGUUCAGAUAAUUCAAUUUACCCCUGGUUUGUCAAUCUGCUCCUCUCCCCAGAGCCCUGUGGCUGCUCUGUGCUGCUGGGAACUGAGCUGGGCUUGUUUGGUUUCCAGAGAGGGGAUAGAGCAGAGCUGGGAUGCUGCAAUGAACCCUGGAGAUGCCAUCCCAAAACAACUCGUGGUCUCAUGCCAGGCUACCUGGCUUUAAAUUGUGUCCAACUGCUUGAGCCAGGCAACUAAAUACUUCUGAAGCUCAUUAAAUUAACCAGUUAGACCAAGGCAAUAUACAGGGUACACAGGCCAAAGAAAGCAUUGUGGGUGUGACCUUUUGAAGGAGAAUUAUAGUUGCUGCUGAUCAGGCUGUUACAGUAAAUGUAGUGUCAGUGUUUCCAUAUUGGUCUCUCUUUUUUUCCCUUUUAUUUUUUUUUCUUUUUUCCCUGUGUGAAAAGGUUUGCACCUCAUGAAAAGGUUUUCAUGUGCUGUGAAAUGCGAUGUGAAACCACUGGAUCUUUGUUACCCAAAGAACUUGAUCUUUGUGUUACCCAAAGAAUCUGUGCUGUUUCUAUAGGGAAGGAGCAGCCUUCAAAACUGGGAUUCGAACUGGAAUUUGAUGCCAGCCACCCAAAUGUUUGGGGGAAUUCAGCUCGCACUUGAUUCUCCCUGUUGUGAAAAGCAUUCCCUUUGGUUCAGCACUGGAGAGGUGACAAAUCCCAGGGUCAGGUAACCCUGUGUGCUUCACUCUGGGGACACAAACAGCUUUGCAGUGUUUGUGAUUUGUUUUGGGUGGGGUGGCUGGGAGGAGGGCAGGAUGCUGCUGCAUCCCCACAAAGGGCUCUGUUACUGGGCAGGCUCUGGCUCAGCCCACACAAACGUGCAGCACUUGAUUAAUCACCUUCAUUAUGGUCAUAUUCUCACCCAGCCGGGAGCAGGGCACUGUGCAGAACCAGCCUCCUUUUGUUUCCCCUGGAACUGCCAACCUGUUUCCCCAGGCCACACCUCCUUUCUAAUUU